rnacentral:rRNA from 1 species
GACGAACGCUGGCGGCGUGCUUAACACAUGCAAGUCGUACGGUAAGGCCCUCUCGGGGGUACACGAGUGGCGAACGGGUGAGUAACACGUGAGUAACCUGCCCACAACUUUGGGAUAACGCUAGGAAACUGGUGCUAAUACUGGAUAUGUGCUCCUGCUGCAUGGUGGGGGUUGGAAAGCUCCGGCGGUUGUGGAUGGACUCGCGGCCUAUCAGCUUGUUGGUGGGGUAGUGGCCUACCAAGGCGGCGACGGGUAGCCGGCCUGAGAGGGUGACCGGCCACAUUGGGACUGAGAUACGGCCCAGACUCCUACGGGAGGCAGCAGUGGGGAAUAUUGCACAAUGGGCGCAAGCCUGAUGCAGCAACGCCGCGUGCGGGAUGACGGCCUUCGGGUUGUAAACCGCUUUCAGCAGGGACGAAGCUUUUUGUGACGGUACCUGCAGAAGAAGCACCGGCUAACUACGUG